GGUUAAGCGACUAAGCGUACACGGUGGAUGCCCUGGCAGUCAGAGGCGAUGAAGGACGUGCUAAUCUGCGAAAAGCGCCGGCGAGGUGAUAUGAACCUUUGACCCGGCGAUGUCCGAAUGGGGAAACCCAGUGUGUUCCGACACACUAUCGUUAACUGAAUACAUAGGUUAACGAGGCGAACCGGGGGAACUGAAACAUCUAAGUACCCCGAGGAAAAGAAAUCAACCGAGAUUCCCCCAGUAGCGGCGAGCGAACGGGGAGCAGCCCAGAGUCUGAAUCAGCUUGUGUGUUAGUGGAACGGUCUGGAAAGUCCGGCGAUACAGGGUGAUAGCCCCGUACACGAAAGCACACUUGCUGUGAACUCGAAGAGUAGGGCGGGACACGUGGUAUCCUGUCUGAAUAUGGGGGGACCAUCCUCCAAGGCUAAAUACUCCUGACUGACCGAUAGUGAACCAGUACCGUGAGGGAAAGGCGAAAAGAACCCCGGCGAGGGGAGUGAAAAAGAACCUGAAACCGUGUACGUACAAGCAGUGGGAGCACCUUCGUGGUGUGACUGCGUACCUUUUGUAUAAUGGGUCAGCGACUUAUAUUCUGUAGCAAGGUUAACCGUAUAGGGGAGCCGAAGGGAAACCGAGUCUUAACUGGGCGUUAAGUUGCAGGGUAUAGACCCGAAACCCGGUGAUCUAGCCAUGGGCAGGUUGAAGGUUGGGUAACACUAACUGGAGGACCGAACCGACUAAUGUUGAAAAAUUAGCGGAUGACUUGUGGCUGGGGGUGAAAGGCCAAUCAAACCGGGAGAUAGCUGGUUCUCCCCGAAAGCUAUUUAGGUAGCGCCUCGUGAAUUCAUCUUCGGGGGUAGAGCACUGUUUCGGCUAGGGGGCCAUCCCGGCUUACCAACCCGAUGCAAACUACGAAUACCGAAGAAUGUUAUCACGGGAGACACACGGCGGGUGCUAACGUCCGUCGUGAAGAGGGAAACAACCCAGACCGCCAGCUAAGGUCCCAAAGUCAUGGUUAAGUGGGAAACGAUGUGGGAAGGCACAGACAGCCAGGAUGUUGGCUUAGAAGCAGCCAUCAUUUAAAGAAAGCGUAAUAGCUCACUGGUCGAGUCGGCCUGCGCGGAAGAUGUAACGGGGCUAAACCAUGCACCGAAGCUGCGGCAGCGACACUAUGUGUUGUUGGGUAGGGGAGCGUUCUGUAAGCCGUUGAAGGUGUCCUGUGAGGGAUGCUGGAGGUAUCAGAAGUGCGAAUGCUGACAUAAGUAACGAUAAUGCGGGUGAAAAGCCCGCACGCCGGAAGACCAAGGGUUCCUGUCCAACGUUAAUCGGGGCAGGGUGAGUCGACCCCUAAGGCGAGGCCGAAAGGCGUAGUCGAUGGGAAACAGGUUAAUAUUCCUGUACUUGGUGUUACUGCGAAGGGGGGACGGAGAAGGCUAUGUUAGCCGGGCGACGGUUGUCCCGGUUUAAGCAUGUAGGCGGAGAGUUUAGGUAAAUCCGGACUCUUUUUAACGCUGAGGUGUGAUGACGAGGCACUACGGUGCUGAAGUAACAAAUGCCCUGCUUCCAGGAAAAGCCUCUAAGCAUCAGGUAACAUCAAAUCGUACCCCAAACCGACACAGGUGGUCAGGUAGAGAAUACCAAGGCGCUUGAGAGAACUCGGGUGAAGGAACUAGGCAAAAUGGUGCCGUAACUUCGGGAGAAGGCACGCUGAUAUGUAGGUGAAGCCCCUGCGGGUGGAGCUGAAAUCAGUCGAAGAUACCAGCUGGCUGCAACUGUUUAUUAAAAACACAGCACUGUGCAAACACGAAAGUGGACGUAUACGGUGUGACGCCUGCCCGGUGCCGGAAGGUUAAUUGAUGGGGUUAGCGGCAACGCGAAGCUCUUGAUCGAAGCCCCGGUAAACGGCGGCCGUAACUAUAACGGUCCUAAGGUAGCGAAAUUCCUUGUCGGGUAAGUUCCGACCUGCACGAAUGGCGUAAUGAUGGCCAGGCUGUCUCCACCCGAGACUCAGUGAAAUUGAACUCGCUGUGAAGAUGCAGUGUACCCGCGGCAAGACGGAAAGACCCCGUGAACCUUUACUAUAGCUUGACACUGAACACUGGUCCUUGAUGUGUAGGAUAGGUGGGAGGCUUUGAAGCGUGGACGCCAGUCUGCGUGGAGCCGACCUUGAAAUACCACCCUUUAAUGGCUGGUGUUCUAACGUAGACCCGUAAUCCGGGUUGCGGACAGUGUCUGGUGGGUAGUUUGACUGGGGCGGUCUCCUCCCAAAGAGUAACGGAGGAGCACGAAGGUUAGCUAAUCCUGGUCGGACAUCAGGAGGUUAGUGCAAUGGCAUAAGCUAGCUUGACUGCGAGAGUGACGGCUCGAGCAGGUGCGAAAGCAGGUCAUAGUGAUCCGGUGGUUCUGAAUGGAAGGGCCAUCGCUCAACGGAUAAAAGGUACUCCGGGGAUAACAGGCUGAUACCGCCCAAGAGUUCAUAUCGACGGCGGUGUUUGGCACCUCGAUGUCGGCUCAUCACAUCCUGGGGCUGAAGUAGGUCCCAAGGGUACGGCUGUUCGCCGUUUAAAGUGGUACGCGAGCUGGGUUUAGAACGUCGUGAGACAGUUCGGUCCCUAUCUGCCGUGGGCGCUGGAGAAUUGAGGGGGGCUGCUCCUAGUACGAGAGGACCGGAGUGGACGCAUCACUGGUGUUCGGGUUGUCAUGCCAAUGGCAUUGCCCGGUAGCUAAAUGCGGAAAAGAUAAGUGCUGAAAGCAUCUAAGCACGAAACUUGCCCCGAGAUGAGUUCUCCCUGACCCUUUAAGGGUCCUGAAGGAACGUUGAAGACUACGACGUUGAUAGGUCGGGUGUGUAAGCGUAGCGAUACGUUGAGCUAACCGAUACUAAUGAACCGUGAGGCUUAACCUU
rnacentral:rRNA from 1 species